GAGUAUUUUGGAGAGUUUUUCGCAGCUCUGAACCAGCAGGUCACUGGUUGGAAGCUGGAGAAGGUUCUCGAACCACUUGGAGCUUAUUUGGUGAGCUUGGAAGCUGGUUCGGAAGGUAUUCUAACCUGAGCGGGAGCUCGACCGACCUUUGGGUCAUCCUUGGUUGGCUUUGGGAAGCCUUUAGAGACUUAAUUGGAGCAGCAUUGGGGCUUCGUUGAGCCGUUUGUGGGACUUCUUGUGGAUAAUUGGAGGA